GCCCGGGCUUCGGCCUGGUUAUUCAUAACCCUUUGUUGUCCGACUCUGUUGCCUCCGGGGCGACCCUGCCUUCGGGCGGGGGCUCCGGGUGGACACUUCAAACUCUUGCGUAACUUUGCAGUCUGAGUAAACUUAAUUAAUAAAUUAAAACUUUUAACAACGGAUCUCUUGGUUCUGGCAUCGAUGAAGAACGCAGCGAAAUGCGAUAAGUAAUGUGAAUUGCAGAAUUCAGUGAAUCAUCGAAUCUUUGAACGCACAUUGCGCCCCCUGGUAUUCCGGGGGGCAUGCCUGUUCGAGCGUCAUUUCACCACUCAAGCCUCGCUUGGUAUUGGGCAACGCGGUCCGCCGCGUGCCUCAAAUCGUCCGGCUGGGUCUUCUGUCCCCUAAGCGUUGUGGAAACUAUUCGCUAAAGGGUGUUCGGGAGGCUACGCCGUAAAACAACCCCAUUUCUAAGGUUGACCUCGGAUCAGGUAGGGAUACCCGCUGAACUUAAGCAUAUCAA
rnacentral:rRNA from 1 species